UACGUAGGGUGCAAGCGUUGUCCGGAAUCAUUGGGCGUAAAGCGCGUGUAGGCGGCUUGAUAAGUCUGCUCUGAAAGCCCGGGGCUCAACCCUGGGAGGCGGGUGGAUACUGUCGAGCUCGAGUCCGGAAGAGGCGAGUGGAAUUCCUGGUGUAGCGGUGAAAUGCGCAGAUAUCAGGAGGAACACCAAUGGCGAAGGCGGCUCGCUGGGACGGUACUGACGCUGAGACGCGAAAGCGUGGGGAGCAAACAGG
rnacentral:rRNA from 1 species